rnacentral:rRNA from 1 species
GAUGAACGCUGGCGGCGUGCCUAAUACAUGCAAGUCGAGCGAACAGACGAGGAGCUUGCUCCUCUGACGUUAGCGGCGGACGGGUGAGUAACACGUGGAUAACCUUCCUAUAAGACUGGGAUAACUUCGGGAAACCGGAGCUAAUACCGGAUAAUAUAUUGAACCGCAUGGUUCAAUAGUGAAAGACGGUUUUGCUGUCACUUAUAGAUGGAUCCGCGCCGCAUUAGCUAGUUGGUAAGGUAACGGCUUACCAAGGCAACGAUGCGUAGCCGACCUGAGAGGGUGAUCGGCCACACUGGAACUGAGACACGGUCCAGACUCCUAAGGGAGGCAGCAGUAGGGAAUCUUCCGCAAUGGGCGAAAGCCUGACGGAGCAACGCCGCGUGAGUGAUGAAGGUCUUCGGAUCGUAAAACUCUGUUAUUAGGGAAGAACAAAUGUGUAAGUAACUAUGCACGUCUUGACGGUACCUAAUCAGAAAGCCACGGCUAACUACGUG